CCUACGGGAGGCUGCAGUGAGGAAUAUUGGUCAAUGGGCUAGAGCCUGAACCAGCCAAGUCGCGUGAGGGAGUACUGCCCUAUGGGUUGUAAACCUCUUUUGUCGGGGAGCAACACCCGGACGUUUCCGGCGGUGUGAGUACCCCAAGAAAAAGCAUCGGCUAACUCCGUGCCAGCAGCCGCGGUAAUACGGAGGAUGCGAGCGUUAUCCGGAUUUAUUGGGUUUAAAGGGUGCGCAGGCGGGUUUUUAAGUCAGCGGUAAAAUCGUGGGGCUCAACCCCAUCCAGCCGUUGAAACUGGGGAUCUAGAGUGUGCGAGAGGUAUGCGGAAUGCGUGGUGUAGCGGUGAAAUGCAUAGAUAUCACGCAGAACCCCGAUUGCGAAGGCAGCAUACCGGUGCACAACUGACGCUCAGGCACGAAAGCGUGGGUAUCGAACAGGAUUAGAUACCCCGGUAGUC
rnacentral:rRNA from 1 species